ACACAUCCUGGCAGCAGCAACAGCAGCUAGGAUUAGAAAGGAGGUCAGCAGGACUCCAAAGCAUGCACCUUUUGGGCUCAUCAAAGCUGUAUUGUGUUGGGAGAGUCUGGACUCUCUGCCCUUACUCCAUGGACUUACCUCAUGCAAAUUUACAGUCAUUCCAAUCUGCCCCCAAACCUAGAGAAAAUUGCUGCUCUAAAUGAAAAAGAAGAGGACAGGACAAAGUAGGUGCAAAGUAGCUCAUCAAAUUUCAGGUUGGCAUUUCAGCCUGCUCAUUUACUUCUCUGGAAGUUGGGUGACAAGAACAUAGAUUCCCCUGGAAGUGUAGCACACUAAAGUCACUGUAAAUAAGAGCCAGAAAAACUGCACUUUUAUCUCUGCCAUGAUUUAUGAGAUUUCCCAUUUUCUUCAGCUGACUGGAUCCAAGACUCUGGACAGGGCCAGCCUCCAGAGAAAGGCUGUGUUCUGUAUCAUGAGUGCAGCUGCUGCUGGGCCAUCCCAGGCCACACAC